rnacentral:tRNA from 1 species
GGCCUGGUAGUCUAGUAAAUCUUAGGAUUUUAUUCUGAGAUUUAGAGUGGAUAGGGCGCUGGCUUGCGGAGCCAGAUAUCGAGGGUUCAAAUCCCCCCCAGGCCA